GACUCUGUAGCUCAUUUGAUUAGAGCUGCACUGGAAUUACACGGCCGCAGGUUCGAUUCCUGCAAGGGAGCA